AAAAAAAUUGCCCCUCCAGUUCCCGGCCUUCCCCAUUCUGCUCCGCACCGCACUGGCAUCGGUAUUCCCGAUGGCGGCGGCGCCCGCCCUCCUCUCGCUAACUCCCGCCGUCUCCAGGCACGCGCACCUCCACUUCUCCCGUUGCCCCUCGCCGCGCCACCUCCGCCUCGCCCCUCCCGCCGCCGCCCCCACCCCGGGGGGCAGCCCCGGCCCCGGCGUCUUCCUGUCGCCGCGCGCGCUCUCGCAGCUCGACGAGCUCGCGGCCUUCCGCUACGAGCACGCCUUCCCGCACGGCCUCCUCACCGUGCGCGCCCUCACCCGCGGCCCCGAAGACGACGCCGUGGCCGAGGCGCUCGUCCGCCUCCUGGCCUCCUCGUUCUCCGAGACCGUCCGGUGGGCCCCGGCCCAGCGCUACGAGCAGCUCCUCACGUUCGUCAUCCGCAGGUACCUCCACGAGCGCCGCGGGCUCGCGCCGCACGCCGCGGUGCUCGUGGGGUUCUACCGCCCCGCCGACGCGGUGGACGCGGCCGACGCCACGGAGGAUGACGGAGAUGAGGGCAGCGAAGAUGGGGGAGGUAAAGAUGAAGGGGAGAUGGCGUGCACGGCGGAGGUGUCGUUCGACGCGGUGGGCGCGCCCGGGGCCCCGCCCACGCCCACCCCGCCGCUCGACUUCCCGUACAUCUGUAACAUGACUGUGAAGACGGCAUUGAGGAGGAGAGGAAUCGGAAAACAACUUCUUAAGGCAUGUGAGGAUUUGGUCAUCAAAAUGGAUGCAAAAAGACGUGUACAUCUUCAUUGUCGAAUUAUCGAUCAAGUGCCAUUCAACAUGUACAGGAAAGCUGGAUAUAACAUUGUCGAGACUGACAAUAUUUUGGUUUGGCUGAGCCUUCAAAAGCGGAAGCAUUUGAUGAGCAAGGAAUUACCCCAAGCUUCUGUUGUUGAGCCUUCAACCAAAGACUUUGAUGAUAAUAUUUUGACACGCUAAACGUUCAACAGGAUCAACAGUUGGUCAAGUUACGGAGGGCCGUUCUAAGCGCCCUCUGAAUAGCUGUAAUGACAUCAAUGCUUGUGAUGUUAUCCUCUGAGCAGUAUAUGCAUCCAAUGAGUUUUCCACCUUCAUAGAGAUAAUUCUUCCUGAAGAACCAUCGGGAACUCGAUAUGACUAAAAUAUUGAUCUCACAACAUGGGUCCAAACUCCAAAUGCCUCUGAAACAUUAUAUACAGGGCAAAAGAAGCCAUUUGAAUAUGCAGAGAUAGGCAGGUUUCAUAUGCUUUUGAAAUCACAGGCAUUGUAAACAUAUUGAGCUGGGAUCUCAUGCGCAGCUAUAUCAUAUUGGAAACGAAGAAAGAUCCGGUAAGCUUCAGAAAAAGAAAAGAAAAAAAAAGAAUUGGACACUUUUGCAUGAAGAAGAAACAAGAAAGAGCAGAUAAAUAUAUGCUGGUCAGUGGAGCCUUACCGAUUUUCGCCUCCUGAGGGGAGAUAUCUGUUGGCAUAGGAUAGUGGUAGAAAGUCGCAGGAUGAUGUGUUGAGAGGAGGACGACGAAUAACCCUGCUGUGAGCAUCAGCGCUAGUGUGUUUCUUCCACUAGGAAAUACAUGGGUGGGUCUUCUGA